ensembl:lncRNA
GGAAAAAUGACUUAAUCCAUUUUAGAAUAAGGCUGUAUCGUACCAAAUGUGGAAAAAGUGAAGGGGUCUGAAUACUUUCCGAAUGCACUACACACACACACACACACACACACACACACACACACACACACACACACAGCAGCUUGUGUUGCUGUACCCACCUCUGUGUGUUUGUGCCUUAUUACUGUUCACACACAGACAGUUUCAGUGUUUGUGUCAAUAUUUAAUGAGUGACGGGAGUCUGGGGACCCCACAGCUGUCAGGAGUCUGUCUGGAACUACCACCUGUUCCCAAAUCCCCAAACACACACACUAACUAAUAAACCAUGUUCUCUCAACACUGUGGGGAAUUGGGGAUGCUGUGGCAACAUUGUCCAUGCUACAUACCUGUAAACAGGUGUGUGGUAUAGACUGGUCCAAAUUUGAUUCACAAACUAUGGAUGUCAUUGAAUUCUAUUGUGAUGGAGUUGAAAAACUGCAUACAGAACAACUGGAUCCAGUGAGUGAUUCUUAGUGAUUUUCCUGAUUGAGCUGCACUCGCUGGUCUGUUUCUAUGCCGACCAUCCUUUCGAGCCACCUUGUGUAUCAGAAUGAGAUGUACUGUAACCACACGAAUACAAAACCAAGGAGCCCAAAAUGUACCUUUAAAAAAAAAAAAAGAACUUUAAUUCAAACAAAAAAAGAUUAUAAAACAGUGAUUUUAGUUACAUAAAUAAAUUGAUAUCGGUGUAUCAAAUCUUCAUUUCAUAAGCAUGUAUACAUGGAUCAUUAUAAUAAAUAAAGUGGGAAAACAGAAGAUUCCAUUUCCUACAGGAACAGAAGAAAAGAAACAGCUAGAGAAAGAGGAAAUGCAUUCAUUAGAGGACGAGACACACAGGACAAAGUUUUCCACCAAACACACGAGGAAAUGCUUCGUUAAAAGCACAGUGUUUACAGAGCCAUUCAGUUACUAAUUAAGGACACUAAAGCUGGGACCAAGGUGGCUUGGCUUUCACUUCUUGGAACAUGUUUGGUUGUUAGAACUCCUGUUUGGUUACUUCAAAACAAGGCAAGAGAGAAGGCUGUUUAUUCUUUAAAGAACAAAAGAGAAAGCACUUCAACAAAAACCAGAAAAAUAAAGAAACAAGACAAGUUAUUAGUACAAUAGCCGGACCUCGUACAGGAAGACACACACACUGGUCUGGUCUGUGGCGUGUUCAGAAGCAAGCGGACAUUUCAGCGGAACACAACUCUUGUCCUGAAGGGUGACAGCCCUGCUGGUUUUAAUAGAUCAGUUAGUAUCACUGACUGACCUAGCUUUCACACCACUGAUUAGCCAGAUAUAACUCUAAAGUCUGGGAUUACCAGAUAAGGAAGAGAACCAGCAGACCCCGUGGCCUUCGAGGACCAGAGUUAUACACAACUGGAUGUUGGUCAUUUCUCAACAGCUGAUCAGUGUUAUGAUGCCACGUAAUGAAAAAUCAAUGCUCGGGUUAUCAUAUGACAUUUCAAUGGAAUACUGUACAUCAGUCAAAUACAUACAUCUGUUCAUUGUGAAAAGUAACCCUAGAGAGAACAAGAUAAUAUUUUCACUGUGCUCCAAUACCUUGAAGACACCAAAUCAAACUGUUGAUAGCAGUUCAAUAAUCUGAACCAAUGUCUUAGUACUGACACUACCCUUGUGAGCCUACAGUAACCCUCCAUUAGCAAGGCCAAUGUGAUGUGUUCUGUGGUAAAAAAAAAUGACAUUGAAAGAAAAAACACUAAGAGAAAAAGAGCAAGCUACAGCGGCUUCAAGUAUUUCACAUCACAUAGAAUACUCUGUAUAAAUUAGUUAACAUAUACUUUUGAAUCCUCCAUACACAGUACAAUACAUGCUUGCUCAUAUCAUUGUUUCCUGUACUCAUUCCUUCUUCCUGUUAGUUUUAGAGAAAUCCCUGAGAACGUCUUUUGACAGUUGCUGAAGGUUAUACACAUAGAAUAGGCCUAUUAAAACUGUAUUAUAAUGGAAUUCUAAUUAUCCUAUGGUUCCACAUGCACAGAAGUAUUGACACUGGCCCAUUCUGGAGCUACACUCACCGAUUCUACCGAUGUGGGAUCCUAAUUUGAGCCUGUUUGCUACAGUAGGAAAAUAAUCCUGCAGCAACAGGAAAUUUGAACUAUGUAUAAAAUAAAUUGACAUUUUUGUAGGAGUUGAUACAUUUUUCGUAAGGGAAAAUCAAGUCAGAAAUUGUGGAAAAGUGGAAAUGAAACCACUUUAAACAUCAAAAUAAAAGUAAAACAUUCUGUAUUGCAGGUGAUCCAAUUAAGAUCCUACAUCUGUACAACUAGAACCCUGGUAACUUUGGCACUGUAAUUAGUUACCCAGCCUGUAUUCUUGUGAACACAGAAACAGCCAGGUCACCAGGUUAGUUUUGUGAAUACAUAAACAGUCAGGUAACCCGGCUAGUCUUGUGAAGGUUAGUCUUGUGAAUACAGAAACAGUCAGGUAACCCGGCUAGUCUUGUGAAGGUUAGUUUUGUGAAUACAGAAACAGUCAGGUAACCAGGCUAGACUUGUGAAGGUUAGUCUUGUGAAUACAGAAACAGUCAGGUAACCCGGCUAGACUUGUGAAGGUUAGUCUUGUGAAUACAGAAACAGUCAGGUAACCCGGCUAGUCUUGUGAAGGUUAGUUUUGUGAAUACAUAAACAGUCAGGUAACCCGGCUAGUCUUGUGAAGGUUAGUCUUGUGAAUACAGAAACAGUCAGGUAACCCGGCUAGUCUUCUGAAGGUUAGUCUUGUGAAGGUUAGUCUUGUGAAGGUUGGUCUUGUGAAUACAGAAACAGUCAGGUAACCCGGCUAGUCUCCAGCAACUGUUCAUCCUAACACUUGAACCAGUAACUAACCCACAAUUACAGGUUUGUUGGUUUUAAGUACAUUGUGCACUGUAAAAAAAAUAUAUAUAUAUAUCCUGUUGUUUUUACGGUAACUUACUGGCAGCCAGUUAGUUACCUGUAAGUUACUGUAAAAAAGGUUACCAUAAAUUCCAAAGAAACUUUUGUUUAACGGUACAUUACUCUAAACUUUACUGUAAACAUGAUUUGUUGUUACAGUGUGGGAUAUUUCUGGCAUAAUACACCAAAUGCUGGUACUCUUGAUAAUACUCCAUAUCCUCAUCUUAUGGCCCAUGUGCCAUUACUGUAGUCCUGCAUUGUUGUCCUUAAUCUAACACAGAUAGUUAUGAUUACUGCAUCUGAAACAACACCAGUCUGUUAAGACUAUUUUUCCAAAACUAGAAUCUAACUAAUACCUAUGACACAGAGAAAACACAAGUGACGAGUCAACAGAAAUAUUAAAUGGUGGUUUUCUCAUGGAGCCGAGCUGUACAGUGCUUCCAAUAGUCAGGUCUGUGUAGUUUUAAAGCCAUAGUGUCUCUUUGAGGCUGCCAAUGUGUUUUUACACAAGUGCUUUCGGACAAGGGACUUUAAGCCACUUGACAUAUACUCAGUAUAAAACCAAGAUAUAAAACAGGGGGAUGCUAAUAAUAAUAAACGUUUCUGUUAUCUGCUUUUUCCUCUCGCACACACAUGGAAAAACACACGCAACAUUUCCUCUUCUGAAAAUAAAACACACAUAGUACUGUACACAGUAAUAAUAAUAAUGGUAAUGUUUAUAACAAUAACAGCAAGAAUGAUAAUACUGUGUGGCUCUGGAAUUAUUUUUUUCCUUCUUCUUUUGCUUUGUCCUCCAACUCCUUACUUGUCCAUGUUUAAGUCCAAAGAAGUUCAAAAGGCAGACUGAAGUUAAUAUAAAAGUACUAGGAGCCGACCCCGGUCAGCCGAACCUCCCCCUCGGGGCCGACCCCGGUCAGCCGAACCUCCCCCCCGGGGCCGACCCCGGUCAGCCGAACCUCCCCCCCGGGGCCGACCCCGG